rnacentral:rRNA from 1 species
CUACGGGAGGCAGCAGUCGAGAAUAGUCUACAAUGGGGGAAACCCUGAUAGUGCGACGCCGCGUGGAUGAUGAAGUACUUCGGUGCGUAAAAUCCUUUUAUAAGUGAAGAAUACUCUUAUGUAUAAGAUAUAUUAGAGGGAGACAUUAACUUUUGAAUAAGCUCCGGCUAACUUCGUGCCAGCAGCCGCGGUAAUACGAGGGGAGCAAGCGUUAUCCGGAUUUACUAGGCGUGAAGAGCAAGCAGGCGAACUUGCCAGUCAGAUGUUAAAGGCAUUGGCUCAACCAGUGUAUGGCAUUUGAUACUGUAAGUUUAGAGUUAUAUAUGGGAAGGCGGAAUUCUUGGUGUAGCGGUGGAAUGCGUAGAUAUCAAGAGGAAUACCAGCGGCGAAGGCGGCCUUCUGGGUAAUAACUGACGCUCAUUUGCGAAGGUGUGGGUAGCAAACGGGAUUAGAUACCCUUGUAGUC